GCGUUGAAAAGCUCGGGGAUGACUUGUGGGUAGCGGUGAAAUUCCAAUCGAGCCCGGAGAUAGCUGGUUCUCCCCGAAAUAGCUUUAGGGCUAGCCUCAAGGUGAGAGAUACGGAGGUAGAGCACUGAAUGUCCUAGGGGGUAUUGCACCUACCGAAGACUAUCAAACUCCGAAUGCCGUCAUCUUAUACUUGGGAGUCAGACUG
rnacentral:rRNA from 1 species